rnacentral:rRNA from 1 species
UCCGGUUGAUCCUGCCAGAGGUUACUGCUAUCGGUGUUCGCCUAAGCCAUGCGAGUCAUAUGUUCUUCGUGAACAUGGCGUACUGCUCAGUAACACGUGGAUAACCUGCCCUUGGGUCCGGCAUAACCCCGGGAAACUGGGGAUAAUUCCGGAUAACGCACAUAUGCUGGAAUGCUUUAUGCGUAAAAUGGAUUCGUCUGCCCAAGGAUGGGUCUGCGGCCUAUCAGGUAGUAGUGGGUGUAAUGUACCUACUAGCCUACAACGGGUACGGGUUGUGAGAGCAAGAGCCCGGAGAUGGAUUCUGAGACAUGAAUCCAGGCCCUACGGGGCGCAGCAGGCGCGAAAACUUUACAAUGCGGGAAACCGUGAUAAGGGGACACCGAGUGCUAGCAUCAUAUGCUGGCUGUCCAGGUGUGUAAAAUACACCUGUUAGCAAGGGCCGGGCAAGACCGGUGCCAGCCGCCGCGGUAACACCGGCGGCCCGAGUGGUGAUCGUGAUUAUUGGGUCUAAAGGGUCCGUAGCCGGUUUGGUCAGUCCUCCGGGAAAUCUGACAGCUCAACUGUUAGGCUUUCGGGGGAUACUGCCAGACUUGGAACCGGGAGAGGUAAGAGGUACUACAGGGGUAGGAGUGAAAUC